GCAGAACGCUAGCUACUGAGCUACUAAGGUUGUCACCAUGUCAUUUUGCAUUUUCACCUAAUCGGUUAGUUUUCCGAAACUUCUAUGGUUCGUUAAUGGCGUGCAAGAUGAGAUCGAAGCACGAGCUGGAAGAAGUUGAAGAAACUUCAUUCUACACGAGCAGCGCGAAGUUAGGCAUAUCCUGAACAACAGCGUCGUUGCUCUUCCUUCCAUUUGCAAUCAGAGUCAAGGCGACAACCUUCAAUAAUAUGGAACAGAACUUCUCAGCGGAUGCUAUGAGCUCAGCAGGCGACAUAGAAGAAAGCAUGAGUCUAAGUUAUCCUCUGAUGCCAACGGAGGAAAUAAUUGUGGAAGGGGACGAGUAAGUAUGAUAUUCCCCUUUCGAGUAACCCAAGGCUGAAGCACAACCGAUUUUUGUGCUCUACCAACUAUGGUGAAACCUCGAGUUCGUUGUGCUGCACGCUGUCAACCACAUUCUGCGUCGCAUUUAUCGUUUCUUUCAUUGUGGCAUUUGUGAUGUUGAGCCAGCAGUCCAGUAUGGGCAGCACUAGUACGGUGUACAGUAAACCUGGAAACGGUGCACCCGACAGAGGCUCGCCCGGGCAGAAGCCUAGCACUAGGCAUGCAUCAUCGACGCAGACUCCGAAAAGAGAAACGACCAAUGCGAUCCCGACUCCGACCACCAGCUCUGCAUCUUUGACACUCAGUCCUCCAACUGCCAUACCAGCUGCUGGGUCGACUAGCAGUCUGAGCAUCCCGACGACGUUG